GACGAACGCUGGCGGCGUGCUUAACACAUGCAAGUCGAACGGAAAGGCCCGGCUCUUGUUGGUUUCUCGUGUGGCGAACAGGUGAGUAACACGUGAGUAACCUGCCCUUGACUGUGUGGGAACUUCAGGAGACUGGGGCGAAUACCGGGUAUGAUCUCUUGCUGCAUGUGGUUGAUUGGAGAAUUUCGGCGGUGGGGGCUGGACUCGCUGCUUAUCAGCUUGUUUGUGUGGUAGUUGCUUCCCAAGGCUUUGACGGGUAGCCGGCAUGAGAGGGUUAACGGCCACAUUGGGACUGAGAUACGGAGCAGUAUCGUAUGGGCGGCAGUAGGGGAGAACCUUGCACAAUGGGGGGACGUCUGAUGUAGAAACGUUGCGUGCGGGAUGCUGGGUUUCGGGUUGUAAACAGAUUUCGAAUGUGACGAAGAGUGAGUGACGGUACUGGGUCAAGAAGCCCCGGCUAACUACGUG
rnacentral:rRNA from 1 species